UGCCCCCGCUGCCGCCGCCGCCGGCCUUCCUGCUCUUCGUCCCUGUGGUGAUGAUGCUCCUGCUCUUCUCCCUGAUCCUCUUCCCCUCCACAAACUGCGAGUGCCCGUCUCAGUAUCAGUAGGAGAGAACACACAAAGAGAGUCAGGUCAGGUGGCUCACAGGAGAACUUCUGCUCUGCCUUUCAAGACCAGGCCGGAUGAGGAGCCAGCCAUGGUUAUGUAGAAUACGAAGAAAUGCAUGCUAAUUAGCUAGUCAUUCCUGGCUUUCCCCGCAAUUUUCUGGCUGCGGAAGGCUGUGCAUUAGUAAGCCGGCGAUGAGAACUGCAGCGCCUGCAACGAAGCCGGGAGGGAGGGUCGACGCCACGCCGAUGUACGGCAGCGGUAGGGUGAAGGCGUAGAUCGACAGCGGGACUGCAUCAAGAAAGGCCAUCAUUAGUGAUCAGUUCGCUGCUCAGCGUGCAGGCAUACUGCAUAUCUACUUGUACAAGGGAACAAUGAGUAGUAAUCAGAAAAGGAAUGCUAGCUGAAAGAUUUAUAACUUU